rnacentral:tRNA from 1 species
AGUUAGGAGGGGCCAUGGCUCAGUGGAAGAGCAUCUUCUUGGGAUGCGGAAGGUGCCAGGUUCAAUCCUUGCCUUGUCUA